rnacentral:rRNA from 1 species
AUUGAACGCUGGCGGCAUGCCUUACACAUGCAAGUCGAACGGUAACAGGUUAAGCUGACGAGUGGCGAACGGGUGAGUAAUGUAUCGGAACGUGCCCAGUCGUGGGGGAUAACUGCUCGAAAGAGCAGCUAAUACCGCAUACGACCUGAGGGUGAAAGCGGGGGAUCGCAAGACCUCGCGCGAUUGGAGCGGCCGAUAUCAGAUUAGGUAGUUGGUGAGGUAAAGGCUCACCAAGCCGACGAUCUGUAGCUGGUCUGAGAGGACGACCAGCCACACUGGGACUGAGACACGGCCCAGACGACUACGGGAGGCAGCAGUGGGGAAUUUUGGACAAUGGGCGCAAGCCUGAUCCAGCCAUGCCGCGUGCGGGAAGAAGGCCUUCGGGUUGUAAACCGCUUUUGUCAGGGAAGAAAAGGUUCUGGCUAAUACCUGGGACUCAUGACGGUACCUGAAGAAUAAGCACCGGCUAACUACGUG